rnacentral:rRNA from 1 species
ACGAACGCUGGCGGCGUGCUUAACACAUGCAAGUCGAACGGAAAGGCCCUGCUUUUGUGGGGUGCUCGAGUGGCGAACGGGUGAGUAACACGUGAGUAACCUGCCCUUGACUUUGGGAUAACUUCAGGAAACUGGGGCUAAUACCGGAUAGGAGCUCCUGCUGCCUGGUGGGGGUUGGAAAGUUUCGGCGGUUGGGGAUGGACUCGCGGCUUAUCAGCUUGUUGGUGGGGUAGUGGCUUACCAAGGCUUUGACGGGUAGCCGGCCUGAGAGGGUGACCGGCCACAUUGGGACUGAGAUACGGCCCAGACUCCUACGGGAGGCGGCAGUGGGGAAUAUUGCACAAUGGGCGGAAGCCUGAUGCAGCAACGCCGCGUGCGGGAUGACGGCCUUCGGGUUGUAAACCGCUUUCGCCUGUGACGAAGCGUGAGUGACGGUAAUGGGUAAAGAAGCACCGGCUAACUACGUG